rnacentral:rRNA from 1 species
GAUGAACGCUAGCUACAGGCUUAACACAUGCAAGUCGAGGGGUAACGAGAGGAAAGCUUGCUUUCCUUGUCGACGACCGGCGCACGGGUGAGUAACGCGUAUCCAACCUGCCCCCAACUAGGGAAUAACCUUGCGAAAGUAAGACUAAUACCCUAUAAUUUCCUCAGAUGUCAUCUGACGAGGAAUAAAGAUUUAUCGGUUGUGGUUGGGGAUGCGUCUGAUUAGCUUGUUGGCGGGGUAACGGCCCACCAAGGCAACGAUCAGUAGGGGUUCUGAGAGGAAGGUCCACCAAAAUGGAACUGGGACACGGUCCAAACUCCUACGGGAGGCAGGAGUGAGGAAUAUUGGUCAAUGGGCGGAAGCCUGAACCAGCCAAGUAGCGUGAAGGAUGACGGCCCUAUGGGUUGUAAACUGCUUUUAUACAGGAAUAAAGUUAGCCACGUGUGGUUAUUUGUAGGUACUGUAUGAAUAAGGACCGGCUAAUUCCGUGCCAGCCGCCGCCGUAA